UAAGGUGUUCACUUGUCCGCCCUCACCAAUUUUUGACAUUAGUUGGUAUUACUUAGUUAUAUUUAAGUAUUGUGAAGUAAUAUAACAAACAUUAGGGAAGCUUAACUUUGGCUGAUAUGGUUAGUGUGCUACAUAUAAUCUUAAUUUCUGGUAAUAAAAAGACACCAGAUUGAGUUAAAUUUCGGAUUCAAGGCACCCGAGGGUCUGACCAAGUGGUCAAUAAAACAUGGAAUAACCAUCAGGUCUCAGGUUCAAAACCCAAUGGAGACAAAAAAUACUAGGUGGUUUCUUCCCAUCUACUUAAGCCUUGGUAGGAAGAAUUACCUGAUGCUUGUGCUGGUGGGAGGUAGCAGGUAACAGGUGGAAUUAGUUGAGGUGCACGCGAGAAGGCCCUAACACCAAAAAGAAUCGGAAUUAGGAAUUCUUGUCAUCAUUCUGAUUCCACCAAAAUGCAUGCCAAAUAGCUUUUGUUGAAUUAAUCGGAUGUCAACUAGAUUUUAACAGAAUUCGAAGUUUAUUACUCAUAGAAUUCGAAGUUUAUUGUUCCUUUGACUUUGGUUUCUUUCUACUUUUCCCGUUUGCUUCCUUUGAGUUUGAUGCUUCUUGAGUUUGAUGCUUCUUGAUGACUUUGUAACAUUUAGGCCAUUUUGUACUUAUAAAAAAUCUAUAAGUUGUUUUCUUAGACAUUGUAUAUCCAAGUUUUCUUUUCUUGAUGAGAUCCUAUUUGUGUGCUUUUGUAGGUCAUAUUGGUAAGUUGAGUAUUAAAAUUCCGUGGAAAAAGCUUGGCUGGGCUCCUGUCAUAAUCAGUUUAGAGGAUGUAUUAGUGUGUGCAUCUCAGCGGGACGAGAAAGAGGUAUUAUGCCAUAAUUCACUGUUGCUAAAUCUUUUUGUUUAUCUUAAGAAAAUUCAACAUCAGUAAUGAUGAGUAAAAAAAGAAAAAAGGGCAGCUCGGUGCGCUAAGCUCCCGUUAUGCGCGGGGAACAUCAAUAAUGAUGAGUGUUCAAAAAAUUAUCAAAAAACUCAAACUGAACCGGAAGAUGAAUCAAACUGGCUCGAAAGAUCGACAUGUAGUUGGUACAAUUUGGUUUAGUAUGAAUUAUAAAACAAACCAAACCGACAUGACAAUACUAUCUAUUUUAUAUAUACUAGUUUUCUAGUACGUGCGUUGCACGUGAAUAUUGCGUCAAUAAUAAAAAAUUAUUAAAACCUUAUAUUCUUCGCCAUAUAAAUAACUAUUAAUAGAAUUAAAGCAGUAAUUGAGGUAGAAUUUAAUAAAAAAAGCAAAGGCAUAGUAAAAUUAUGAACUACAUAUUAAAUGUUGUGCCAAAACAAAUUGAUCCUCAUUUAGAAUAAAAUUGGAAUUUCAAAAAAAACAGUUGGAACUUCCUAAAUUUCAUUUCACCUAUAGACACCGCAUUGAGCUUUAUAAUUCAAAUACUCUCAUACUAUAAGAAUUGUCUGACAAUUGACAAAAAUAUACUAACAUAUAGAUGCUUGGUCCUGUCGUUACCCUUGAGAAGUAAAAGAAUAAAAAAAAUUCAUCUCAAAUUUGAUCAAUUGCGCUCCUUAAUCAACAAAAAAGAAUAAAAUAAAAGAAAUAAGAGCUAAUCUAAUCCAUACUCAUCAUACAUAUUGGCAGUAUAAUGCAAUAAAAAUUUCCAACUCAAAUUUAUUCGAAAAGAACUUAUGAAUGAAAACUCAUAACAUAGAUAAUUUAGAGGAAGAGAAACAAUAAAAGAAUAUAUACAUAAAAGAAGAAAGGUCAGGAUCGAAAACACAAGAUACCAGAUCAUUCAAAAUUAACACUACUUAAAUACAACCACAUACAAUGAUAGUGAUGAUAGAGAUUUUACAUUAUUUUUUGGCACAUCAGGAAAAGUAUCAAAAUCAUUGGUCUCAGGAAGCACUAAUAUUCGUGCUUGAUGAAAUAUUGAUAAAGCGGCUAACUCAUACAAUUAAAGUUGUCGCACCUUUUUACACCCGAGGGGGGUAUAAGGGAGAUUUUCCAAUUUAAGUGACAUAAUUCGAAAUGGGAUUAUUUUAUUUAUUCCAGAGUCGCCACUUGGGAUAUUUAUGGUAUCCCAAAUCACCGGUUUAUUUUAAAUCCCAAAUCGAGGAAAGUAGACUUCAUUUAAAAGUAUGCGAAACCAGAAAAACUAGGUAAGGAAUUCUGUUAACCCGAGAGAAGGUGUUAGGCAUUCCCGGAUUCCGUGGUUUUAGCACGGUCGCUCAACUAUUAAUAAUUGGCCUAAUUAUCUGAUUUAUUAUAUGUUUUAAACCUAUUGUGCAUUUUAACUUUAUAAACCACUUUUAGUAUUUAUGGAAUUAUUUUUGGAACAAGUCACGAUGUCGUACACUUGCCAUUUUGGUGCACGUUGCAAACCGCGCUACAUGAAAUGCACCCGCGAUUUACGACAUGUUUAUUUUAUUAUUAUUCGAAGUUACGGUCGGGUCACAUGAAAUGCACACGAAUGUGAUUUACGUAUCAUGACUAUGCCACGGGAACCGUACCCAUGGCCACUAUGAUUUAUUAUUAAUCGCGCCUAAAGCAUGCUACGAAUGUUCAUAACUAUUUUCCUAAAGCUAAUUUGAGAUUAUUUGUUACGAGCAUACCAAAUAUGAGCUUAAAAACUAGUAGUUGAUUAGUAAAAGGCUUAUCAAGAUGAACAAGCAAAAUGGUCAAGAGCUAAUCUCGAUUAAACAAAUAACGACAAAUUCUCAUUUAGAGGCAUAGAAAGGGCAGUCAAGUAGCUCAUUGGAAAUAACAAAACACGGCCAUUACUCCAAAUUACAAUAAAAACAAGAGGCGUUGCAGUACUUCCCCAUUCUCGAACUACACAAUAACUCCUCUUUUUAAACUAAUAAACUCGCUAACUUAGAAUUUUCACGUGAGUACUUUAAGCACAAGCGCAAACGUCAGAAAUUGUUUAAUGAUUUUCCAUUCAGACAUUGACUAGUUACACCAUACACGACUAUUAGGAGUGCAAAUGACCAGCAAGGUGAAAGAUUUUGUUUAUGGCUAGUUCUAAUUUGCUAUUCCUGGUUGAGAGGCAAGGAUCCAACGACAUAUUAAAGUGAUACUAAAUAAACAGAACACAUUGGUUCACUUUAUCUUAUCAAACAGAGGGGCAGAGGUACCAAUUUUAUGGACUAGGAUGAUGGAAACUUAAAUUGGUUAUCAUCAGUAAAUUACCUUAUCCAGUAUUAUCUCAAUUAAUUGCUUUACACCCCUUAUGUUUUUGUUGUCACAAAUCCGAAAUCUUCAUCCAUCCUCCAACCUCAGCAUUUAUAAAAAAUAUGAACCCAAAUAUGAAAACAACUGAUACCAAGGUGGAAGAACUGAAGCUACUUAUCAACAUGAUUCCUAUUUGGCUAACCACUUUACCGUUUGGAAUAUGUGCAGCACAAGGUGCAACUUUUCCUUUAUAAAACAAUGUGUGACAAUGAAUUGGAAAAUCUUAUUCAUUUUCAUAAGGGGCUACUGAGAUCUACCACAUACUCCAAAGACCAACUUCACCAAGCAUUUAACAUCAAUGUGCAGAUUACAUGGUUAACCAACCGAGAGGUUGUGAGUUCGAGUCUCCCAAGAGCAUGGUGGGAAAUUCUUGGAGGGAGGGAUGCCUAGGGUCUAUUUGAAAACAGCCUCCCUACCCAUGGUAGGAUAGGGGUAAGGUCUGCGUACACACUACCCUCCCCAGACCUCACUAAUUGGGAUUAUACUGGGUUGUUGUUGUUGUUCACAAAAUAUUGAAAUGAAGAAUAUAUAAGCAGGUUUUAUAGCAGUUAGAACAUCCGGCAGUACAAUUACAUGACUGAAAUUAAGGUCAUACCUCAAAAGCCAAAUGAAGACCUCAAAAUAACCAAAUGAUGGCAGAACUCGUGAAUCAACAGAGCUGGGACAAAAGAACAGCAACAGACCAGCGACAAACGAGCCGAAACUUGACAACGACGGAACUCCUUAGCAAGCCCAGAGAAUCGACGUCAAAACUAGAAGGAGUUGAAGCUACUCUCUCAAAUUACAACUUCCCUUCUUUUUUUUGUCUAAAACUCUUUUUCUUUAGAAUUUUAGAUCUGAAAUCUAAUCUUCAAUUGCAGGAUUUUGCUUCAAUUAUUUUUGAACUUUGAGAAUAACUUCGAAUUUUCGAAUCCGAAAUCCAGAAUUUCCAGCCUGCUUUAGCGUGUUUUUCGCGUGUGUGUGGUCAUUUAUACAAGUAAGAGGUGAGUGAGUGUGUCUUAGAAUAAGAGUGAAAAUGAAGAAGAAGAAGAAGAAGAACUAGAAGAAGAAGAGAGGGGAAAGCUGCUACAAGGUUCGGAAAAAAUUAGGGUCUUUUUUUUAUUUAUUUAGGAGGAUACAGUAAUUUAUUUUAAAUAAAUAUCAUUUAAAAAAAUUAUAUUUUAUAGAUAUUUUUUAAGAUUUAUAGCAAAAUAUUUAAUUUUGGUUACAUACUAGCCCUAAAUCACUAAAUACGCUAAUCAGUUAUACUAUUUUCUUUCUCUCUACUUUGAUACAUCACAUCUCUUCCACAUUCCCAAUCUCCUCCUCUUUCAACCGGAUUUGUGCAAAGCCCACUUCAGAAAUUGCUCCGGCUCCUGCAUCCGACGACUGCGGAUAUAGUGGAUUAGAAUGUUUAGUGAAAAAGAGUACCAUUUUGAAACAGGAAUGAGUACCGCAG
rnacentral:lncRNA from 1 species